UACAGAGGUCCCGAGCGUUGUUCGGAUUCACUGGGCGUAAAGGGUGCGUAGGUGGCAGGGUGAGUUUGAUGUGAAAUCUCCGGGCUUAACCCGGAAACUGCAUUGAAUACUAUCCUACUUGAGGGUUGGAGGGGGGACUGGAAUUCUCGGUGUAGCAGUGAAAUGCGUAGAUAUCGAGAGGAACACCAGUGGCGAAGGCGAGUCCCUGGACAACACCUGACACUGAGGCACGAAAGCCAGGGGAGCAAACGGG
rnacentral:rRNA from 1 species